rnacentral:sRNA from 1 species
GCGCUAUCAUCCUUAGCCAUUAAAACGGCAGAGAAGCAACAGAUCUGCUCGAAGCACCGCAUCAUCAGCCAGAAGAAGGCAACAUGAUGAUGGCUGUGUCACAUGUUUGAGAGGCACUUUACAUUGCUACAAUGUUUGUAUAUUGAUUAUUGGAUGUGCAGCAUUAGGUAUUGGAAUAUGGCUCUUAGUUACAGACUUUGGGGCUAGAAAAGUGACUCCUGUUGUAGGGAAUCAAUUGUAUGAAGUGACAACUUACCUCUUGAUAGCAGGUGGAGGUGCAGUGGCGUUGCUGGCAUUUUGUGGCUGUUGUGGAACAAUACGGGAAGACAAAUGUGUCUUGUCAUUUUAUGGGACAACAUUAGCCAUUGUUCUAAUUGUACUAGGUGUGGCCUGUGGAUUAGCUUUUUUCUUCAGAAGUGAGGUAAGA